GGGCGCCAGACCAGGGUGGGUGCGCAGAUGCUGGGGUCUGGGCGGAGGGAGCGGCGGAACAGGCGUUCGGCCAACACGGCUGUGGUCAGGAGGAAGACAGCAGCCAGGGCGGCCAGGGCCAGCAUGAUGGGGACACAGGGCCCGCAGGGCAGCGGGGGCCAUGAGGAGGCCUCUGAUGCAGGGGGCCCCUCCAUGUGCCCAGAGGGCUGCUCUGGGGUCGGAGGCAUCUGGAGAGCUGGGGUCAGGAGAGGAAGCACAUGAGACAGGGUUGGCACGAUCAGGAGAGAGAGGGGCCAGGGGAGCAGGGUUCAGCAACGUCUGGCUGGAGAAACAGACCCAGGCAGACAGAGGAGCCCGGAGGACCCAGAAACAGCGGGAAGGAGCCAGAUGGCCAGAGAGAUGGGGCCCACCUCGGUCUGCAGCCAGGCCCUCCUGUUCAGAAUCCCCAGGCCCUUUCUGGAAGCUGCAUUUUCCUCCCAGACUCCAGGGUGCCUCAGACAAAACUGAACUCAAACUCAAAGAACCCAAGGACUUCUUUCCUCCUGUCUCAGCCCGCUCAUGUCUUGCUUAGAAGAAGUGCUGGGUGAGGAAAUGAGAGCCUCCGUCCCAGCUCUGCCCCUGCGUGUGGGCCCCGCUCCCGGCCACAUUGGCGGUGCCCUGGCUGCUCCUUUGCCCUCACAACUCUCCUUGGAGUUGGUCUUGUUCUUUGCAGGCUCCCCUGAGUUUGCUGUUGUGCCAGGUCUCAGGUGCCACCUCUGCACCUGUCCCCGCAGUCUCUGUCUGCCUCUGCCUGUCCCCCAGGUCCCCCACCUGCAGGGGCCUCCUGCAUUCCUCACCUCACCUCAGUCAGUCUCUGGGCUCCUGGCUCGCCCUCAGAGCCGCUCUUCCCUGUGCGAGCCAAGGGUGCAGGGCAGCUGCCUCAGAUGAGGGUGGAAGGGAGGGCACCACCUGUUGCUGGGCAACUGUGCCCUGGAUCUCCCAGCCCCCCCGCAGAGUGUUUCCAAGGCAACCUGGGGGGAUGUGGUCACUGUGGUGGGGAGGCGUUUCCUGGUGAGAGGUGGGGCCGGAAUGGGCAGCGGUUCUGUUGAUCUCAGUGUCACCCCACAGUCAGGCCCCAGGCCCCAGAACAAUUACCUGGAAGCCAAGAGAGAGAGACAGAGCCCAUCCAGACCACCAAGGUGGCUCGCUCUGUCCUGCUCGCAGGUGGCUGCUGUGUCCCUGCCCUGCCCACUGGGCCCCGCCAUACCCACUCCUGCUAUCUGUCCCCACACACCCUCCUGCUUGCCCACCUUCUCCAUGCAUUUCACAAACAUAUAUCUUCUUGUCCUCAGACCAUUUAGCCCCAAUUUUGCUUGGAAACUAUCUGUGAGGUGAGGCUCAGGUAGCAAAAAUGUCAGGCCUCUGGGAAGAAUCCAAGGCUAAAAAAUAUGCUGAGGCGUCUCUCCAAGACCACGAACAUUUGUCAUCUCGGCUCCUUUCUCCUGGUGCUUAGUGUUGAGGAGAGAAUCAUCAGCUCCUGGACUGGGAGCCUUUCAGAGACUGUCUAGAAUCGACCCACUCACUGACAGAUGGCAGGAUCUUAGUUCCCCGACCAGGGAUUGAACCCGGGCCCACAGCAGUGAAAGAGUCCUAACCACUGGAUCACCAAGGAACUCCUGGAACAGAAUUUCGAACUAGAUCCCACAGAACUCGCAUUCCUCCAGCAACGACAGCUCCACACCUUCCCCUUCCACAUUGUUGAGGACCUCAAUGAACCUGGCUCCUGAGCAAAAUGUGGAGGACACCAACCUCAGGCUAGAAGAGCAGCAGCAGCAGGCGCUGGGGAGACAACCCUUCAGGAAGACGGCGCUGUCUUCCUGCCAUGCUUACGCCACCCAUCCUGGCUGAAGCCUAAAGACUCCUUCUUAAGCAACGUUACUGCAACCAGAGUUCUGGGUUUCAUGCUUCAAGUGGCCUUCAUCCACAACCCACAACCCACAUCUCACCACUGCCUACUGAGCAAGGUGUGUUUGGACCUUGCCACGCCCACCUGGGGUCAAGAGGCAGCAACCAGGAAUGGCAGGGACGUGAUCAGUGGGGGAGGUUCCUGAUUCGCGCUCCAGACCACACAUCAGCACAGCUGAGGGCUCCAAGCAGAAUGUUGGUGAAAAGUUGCUUUACACUUCAGAAUUUCAGCUUCUGCAGAUGAAGGAACAUGCAGUCAACCCUCAGCUUCUCCCAACCAGAUGGAAUUAAACCGCACUCCCUCUUCGUGUUCUCCGUAAAGUGCAGCCUCAGGUGUGAGAAGCAGAGAAGCGGGCAGCAGACGGGCACAUUUUAUACUUGGACACUGAGGCUUAGAAGGGUUGAGUAGCCUGUCUGGGGUGACUAACGAUCCUAUUUUGCCCGGGCCUGUCCUGGUUUUAGCAGUGAAAGUUCCAUGUCCCAAAAUACCCUUAAUUUUGGGCAAACUGAGAAAGCUGGUUAGUGUCUUCCAAAGUCACACAACUAGCUGGAGCUGAAUCUGAACCCAGAUCUCACCAUCUCCCAUGUCCUCCUCCCGCUGAAUGAAUGACUUCCUGAGCAGGUCAAUCACGUGAAAUAUAUUCAGAGCAACAAGAGAUCCAGGUGUUUCCUGAUGCUCUUCCCUUCCCUUUUGCCCUCUCUGCAGGGGUGCCCAGACCAGCUGAGAGUUCCAUCCCUUACCCAGGGCCAUCCUGAUGCCUACAGUGAAUAAGGACAGGGCCGCUGAGCUCAGGAGAGCUUUAUCACUGCCAGGGCCUGCCAGGUCUCACCUACCUGGCUCCCCAAGAUCUCAAGAGUCAGAGAUUCCAACCUUGAGAGCUGUGAAAAAUGAAUUAGAGAGGUCCCAAGUGCCACCUCUUUGGGGAAAUCUGGGGAGAUGGAAAGAACCUGGGCUUUGGAACCAGUCAGCCCUGGAUUUAAUCUGAGCUUCCCAUCUUUUUUUUCUUUUUUUUUUAUACUUUAAAAAUUUUUAAUUUUAUUUUGGAGUAUAGUUGAUUAACAAUGUGUUAGUUUCAGGUGU